AACGCGAAGAACCUUACCGAGGCUUGACAUCCCUUGAAAUCCGUAGAAAUACGGCUUCCGUAGCAAUACGGCAAGGAGACAGGUGCUGCAUGGCUGUCGUCAGCUCGUGCCGUGAGGUGUUGGGUUAAGUCCCGCAACGAGCGCAACCCUUAUCCCUAGUUGCCACCGGGUAAUGCCGAGCUACACUAGUGAAACUGCCUGGGAUAACCAGGAGGAAGGUGGGGAUGACGUCAAGUCCUCAUGGCCUUUAUGUCCAGGGCUACACACGUGCUACAAUGGUCGGUACAAACCGUCGCAAACCCGCGAGGGGAAGCUAAUCGGAAAAAGCCGGCCUCAGUUCGGAUUGGAGUCUGCAACUCGACUCCAUGAAGCUGGAAUCGCUAGUAAUCGCGGAUCAGAACGCCGCGGUGAAUACGUUCCCGGGCCUUGUACACACCGAGUAUA
rnacentral:rRNA from 1 species